rnacentral:lncRNA from 1 species
AUGGAGAAAGGCGGCUCAGAAUGCUGGCACCUGCUGCAGGGAGCAGCAUCCUGCUGCCAUGGGCCACACAGCCAUGGGUGUGGGGGAAUUUUUGGGAGCAGGGAGGUGCAGCACGUGGAGAUAACUGGUGCUUGGUUGGGCUGUGGUGGGUAUCACCCUCCACAAGAAGUGUUUGAUGGAGUUUUCUCCUCUUCCAGAGCUGGUGGUGCCCAAAACCUGAUCCUGGGAGCUGGCCCCUGUCAGCUGCUCCUGCUGGGAAAGCAUUCACCAUGGAGAAGAAUUUUGUGUUCAGCUUCUCAACCCUUGGCCUGCGUUGUCUCAAGCUACUUCUGCCCUCCUGGCUGUUUGUGGCAGCCAGAGAGCACCUGAUUCUUGUCUCCCAGACCUUAAACCACAGCCUGGCAGCCUCCAAGGGAUCCUCCCUGCUUGGGGUGCUGUUUGUGGGACUGCUGGUGGCUCUGGAUCCCAAGGAGCGUUCCCAUCCCAUCACCACCGGCUGCCAGCAUCGGGAUCACGGUAAGGCUGCUGCUCCCUGCCCCCAGAGUGUGUUCUGUGUG